rnacentral:rRNA from 1 species
AGAGUUUGAUCAUGGUUCAGGAUGAACGCUAGCGGCAGGCUUAACACAUGCAAGUCGAGGGGCAUCGCGGGUAGUGAUACUUGGCGGCGACCGGCGGAAGGGUGCGUAACGCGUGAGCAACAUGCCCGUAUCAGGGGGAUAAACCAGGGAAACUUGGUCUAAUACCCCAUAAUAAAUUCAGGAGACAUCUUUUGGGUUUUAAAAUUACGAUGGAUACGGAUUGGCUCGCGUGACAUUAGCUAGUGGGUAAGGUAACGGCUUACCAAGGCGAUGAUGUCUAGGGGUUCUGAGAGGAAGAUCCCCCACACUGGAACUGAGACACGGUCCAGACUCCUACGGGAGGCAGCAGUGAGGAAUAUUGGACAAUGGAUGGAAAUCUGAUCCAGCCAUGCCGCGUGCAGGAAGACAGCCCUAUGGGUUUUAAACUGCUUUUGUAUGGGAGCAAUAAGGUCUAUGCGUAGAUCGAUGAGAGUACCAUACGAAUAAGGAUCGGCUAACUCCGUGCCAGCAGCCGCGGUAAUAC